rnacentral:misc_RNA from 1 species
UGGUUCUGGCAUCGAUGAAGAACGCAGCGAAAUGCGAUAAGUAAUGUGAAUUGCAGAAUUCAGUGAAUCAUCGAAUCUUUGAACGCACAUUGCGCCCUUUGGUAUUCCGAGGGGCAUGCCUGUUCGAGCGUCAUUUCAACCCUCAAGCUUCGGCUUGGUAUUGGGCCCUCAUCCGCCUGGAUGUGCCUGAAACUCAUAGGCGGUUGUGCUCAGCCCCUUAGCGUAGUCAUUUCUUACCGCUCUGGAGGACUGGGUCCGGCCCGCCCGAGAACCCCCCUAUAUUUCUCAAGUUUUGACCUCGGAUCAGGUAGGGAUACCCGCUGA